AACAAAAAAAUCAUGUAAGAUUGGAAAACCGAUGGGGUGAAACCUGCCUCACACUGCUCUUUUUAUGUUUUUUUUUUUGUUUUGUUUUUUAAAAGAAGGCUUUCGUUUCUCUUUCUCUCUUCAGCUGGAUUUUAAACCGGUCUGUACUCGUUUAAAUCGGUAAGUUUUCUUCACGACUUUGACCAAAGUUACAGUUUGCAUGUUCAUGGCGGAAGCGGCAAGUGGCAGCGCAGCUAUUAAUCGACGUGGUGGUGUUUAAUUUGUGUUCAUUAAACACCGAGCCUGUGUUUACAAACUGCACUUUUGUGGCGCACAAACCGUGUGGGCGAGCAAGUGGGAGAUUCAUUCAGCAAUCAGAGCUCUGUCGUAUCUGUGUUUUCCACCGAUGGAGGAGUGGAAAAUGAGCAUCGCCACUCUGAGUGAACAAGUCCUGAACAGGCUGUCAGCGAUGAUGGACAACUCCAGCUGCGGAUGGAGGCAGCUGGCCGGUGCGGUGUCCGAGCAGCCGAGGUUCCGCUGCAGCGAGAGCGAGCUGACCAGCUGCUCACUCCAGGUGCUGAGCGCUACAGGCAGCCCUGGACGCACCCUCCUCGCUCGGCUCGCUG